rnacentral:misc_RNA from 1 species
GGCUUUUCGUCUUUUCUCUCUCGAUGACUCACGCACCCGCACGUCCUACAGGCACCCAUCGCCUGCUGCUGCAAGUGUCUGCGUACUGCGUUCCUCUUUGUUGUUCUCUUUCUCCUCUCUCCACCCGGUGACGCGGAGAGGGGACACACCUCCGUGAGCGGUACCGCAGGGGCCAGUACACCCCCUCCCCCCACUCUGCGUGGGGAAGCCAAGCAGCCUCUCCCUAUCCCCUGCCAAUGCCGAGCCACCUCUGGUGGUGACAGGGCCAAGUGCCUACGACGUGAGGGGGAGGCCAGAGUGGUUUGCCGCUACGGAUGCCGGCGGUCAGGCUGUGGACAUUGUUGCGCUGGAGAGGCCAGCGACGGUGCGCACGCUUCUGCCAUCCGUGUGAUGGGCGAAGUGUCAGCGCGACUCGUACGUAUCCCACCCCCGGGCCUCGCACUGCCCCACUGGUGUGGGGCGCCGGAGUGCGGGACCGCGAGGAGAUGCACUGGGUGGCGACCAGCACAAGGGUAGCUGCUGUGAGGCGACCUGCGAUGCGGGGAGGGGGGGGCGAGUAGAGUUUUGCGUAGGGGCGGUGCUGGGAUGACGGAGUCGGCGUAUUGCUGUAACACGUGUGUCUAGCGCUGCCUCGCCCCACGCGGAUGGGGCCUGUGACAGGCCCUGAGGUGAGGUGAGUGGUGUUUCACUCAUGCUGUGCGGCAGAGAUGGCGGGCACCUUGAAGGAAAGAGUCGUAGCCUCUCCUGUUUUGAGUGUUGCUUUUGCUGCUGCUGCUUACGGUGCCUUUGCUAUAGGUACGUGUGCACUGGAUCCGGUGCGGCUCAUCGUCCUCUCCCUUUCCAACCCGGUGUUUCUCACGCAUGGAAGUCACCGAAAACAAGGCGCUGCCCAUGUCUUUUGUGUAUCUGUGCUUUUGUAGAUAUGCUCACUUCUCUACAGAUGCCGCUGCACCACUUUCUUCGCGCCCUUAUUGUGCUCACGCGCAUGAUUUUUUCCAUUCAGUGUGUGCUUCUCCUCUGUUGCGUUUUCGACUUCGUUUUUCCUCUGUGCUCCAGCUCCCCGUGUAUGCACCCCAUCACCUUCCGUGUGUGUGUGUGUGCUUCGGGUCCGCCCCCUGCUACGCUGGCUUGGCUAAUUUUGUUUGCCUCGGAGUUUUUCUUCCUGUUCCGGUGCCACGAGUGCGAGUGUCCACUUGUGCGUGUGUAGGGGUACGCGUGUGUGUGUAUGCAUGUGCAACGCUUAUUGUGUGUGUCUCUUUUUGCCGUAUACCUCUUCCACUCCCUUCUCUUUUCCUAUAUCGUGCCCAACUGGACUACCCCCGAUGUAGAUCUUUGUGGACUGUUUUUUUUUUUUCUCUUCACCUCACCUCACCUUUAUCGGCCUUGGCGGAUCCCUCGUGUACCGUACCACCGUUACUUCGCCGUGGCGAAGGCGUUGCCUGGGGCACGGAAUGCCGACGUCGGACUCCCGCGCGCUCUCUCCUUCUUGCUUUCUUUUAAUCUCCUCCUCAUCCAGCAGGUGGGCGCACAAGUCCCUGCGGAAGGACUAUGACUUUCCUCCCUUUGUUCUUAGUGCUCUUUUCUGGGGACAUCGCCGUGCGACGAGAUCGGUGCGUGAUCGACUUGUCUUUUCUUUCUCCAGUGGCAGCAGGAUCUCUCUACUACCUGCCACGGCUACGUCUAGUUUCCAUUUUCUUUGAAAGGGGACCCUAGUGGCCUUAUGGGCGCCUCCUCCCUCGCUAUUUCCGCUGUUUGUGCCUUCAGAGUAAGUCCCGCUCAUUCGACCCCCUUCAUGUUUUUGCCGGGUGAGACAGGAAGCUGGGAAGACAGAUGGUACUGCACUCUCGUCAGAACAUCAACACAACAUAUACGGUUAUCCAUGGUCUUGUGUAAAAGAUGCAUUCUGUUCCUACCGCUAUGGCCUCGACGUAAGCGGCGCGAUUGCACACACCCAGAAGUCGGAUCGAUGGACACGAAUAUGCUGGCUCACUCACAGACUCGGUGUCACUCUCUCUCCCCCUUUGUCCAUCUCUCUCCUUUCUCUCUCACACGUUGGCGAAG